rnacentral:lncRNA from 1 species
CCUUGUUUAGGCCCGGGCUCAGUUCCACCCCUAUAUUCACAUGAAAAGAGUCUCUCCUAUAUUUGCACGGCGUCGCACAAGUAUAAGAUACACGGCGUGGCUCAGUUCCACCCCUAUAUUCAUAUGAAAAGAGUCUCUCCUAUAUUUGCACGGCGUUGCACAAGUAUAUUUGCACGGCGUCGCACAAGUAUAAGAUACAACCACAUUGUAUAAUCAUCCACAUCAAUUAAUCACCACAUCACAUUCAUUCAAUCACAAGUUUACCAUAUGAUAUUCAUAAUUCUACCUCUAUCAGUUUAAAACGUUUCACACUCGGAAACUUAUUUUGAAAUACUAAGAUUUAUGAAAACUAGAAAAUUCUUUUUAAAACUAUUUCCCACACGGGAACUUUUUCCUUUAAAAAUACGCUACCACUAGGAGUAGAAAACCAUUUUCAUAAUUUCAUAUGAAAACCAUAAAUACUUUAUUAAUUUCACAAAACCACGUGUAUCCAAAUAACAUAGAACCAACUGAACCAUAAUGUCUGAGCGAGAGAAAUAGAUUAGAAAUUAAAUC